UGAGCGUUUUGGUGAGAGGUGCUCAGAUAGGACCAAAGUCAGUAGAAGAUGAAGAAGAAAGAUGUCCAUGCCAUACUACUGCUACUGCCAUGUUGGCCGAAAAGAUGGCACUGAAACCGGCAGCAAUAUUUUGACCAGACACGGGUGUCGUGCAGCGUGGGGUCUGUGGCGGAGGGGGCUACUGACUGUGAGCGGUGCAGUGGUUUGUUUACAAACAAGAGGGGUCCAUGUGAUCAAAUACUGCCGAAACCCACCGAGGUACAGCUCAACAUGCGCCUGCUAGCAGCCUUACCUUUGGUUCACAUUCAGGAACUCUACGCCUAUUCAGGCAUUUAUUUUAUAAGAAUUGAAUAAAUAUAUUUGUCUGGAAUUUUUUUAUUUUGAUAUAAAAAAUUAUGAUAUUGAUUAUAGUAAUAGACAGAAAAGGAGAAUGAAGAUAUAAACAUAAUAACUGUUUCAGGAGUUUCAAAUUCAAUAUACCUAAUAUAAUCUGUAAAUAUUGUCCUUGGUAUUGCUUUGACGAUUUGCUUUGGUACAUGAAAAUAUUUGAAAGUGAAAUAGUUUAAAAGCUUUGCGAACGUACCGUGUAUUAAAAAAAACGAUAGUUUUUGAGUACUUAAAAAUCUAAAGUCUGCUGCAAGGCUGUAGGUGAACCAAAAGAUUUUCUAUAAACACAAAUUCAUAAAGUGUAAUUACAAACCAGCUUUUUGAAGUUUAAUUUUGUUCCAUGUCAUAUUUUCAAUGUACUUUAGAACAAAUCUGCCCAUCAUCCGAAUUAUCA